CAGUCGCCGCGGUAAUACGAAGGGGGCUAGCGUUGCUCGGAAUGACUGGGCGUAAAGGGCGCGUAGGCGGCGAUCAAAGUCAGGCGUGAAAUUCCUGGGCUCAACCUGGGGGCUGCGUUUGAUACUUGGUUGCUAGAGUGAGGAAGAGGGUCGUGGAAUUCCCAGUGUAGAGGUGAAAUUCGUAGAUAUUGGGAAGAACACCGGUGGCGAAGGCGGCGACCUGGUCCUUGACUGACGCUGAGGCGCGAAAGCGUGGGGAGCAAACAGGAUUAGAUACCCCAGUAGUCCCUGUCUCUUAUAC
rnacentral:rRNA from 1 species